UACAGAGGUCUCAAGCGUUGUUCGGAUUCAUUGGGCGUAAAGGGUGCGUAGGCGGCGCGGUAAGUCGGGUGUGAAAUCUCGGGGCUUAACUCCGAAACUGCAUUCGAUACUGCCGUGCUUGAGGACUGGAGAGGAGACUGGAAUUUACGGUGUAGCGGUGAAAUGCGUAGAUAUCGUAAGGAAGACCAGUGGCGAAGGCGGCUAUCUGGACCAACACUGACACUGAGGCACGAAAGCGUGGGUAGCAAACAGG
rnacentral:rRNA from 1 species